rnacentral:lncRNA from 1 species
UGAAAACAAAGGUAAAAGUCAUUAUGGUCACUAGAAAGUGAUGGAAAGUUGCAGAGCCUAUCAACCUUCUUUUGUGAGCCAACAAAAGCGGUUGAUGCUCAACAGUCUUACUGCUUACUGUGUCAACUGUCUACUGUGGAAUGUGAGCAAAUGCCAAAGGAGGGCCUGCCCAGCUCUACUCUUGAAUGACAUGUCCUGUUACUCCAGUGGGCAAUCAACCCUGAUCUGCCCUCAGAAAUGCCCUGCAUCUUGCAAGGUCCUUCCCCCAGAAAGCCAAGAACUGUUCUCAACAAAGCCGGUGAAAAGUUUCCUCAAAAAUCCAGGUUCUUUCCUCAAGCUCUUAUAUGCUUUCAUUUUCUGAGAAAAGCAUUUGUCUGUACCAGUGAGUACUCUGUUCCCAAUGAACUAUGAGAGCUAUGCUUCCCUUGAGAAACUGCCCCUCACCAAGCAGCAAGCUCUGAUGCGCUGCAUGAUGUGACUGAAGACAUGAGAAAGGAAAGGACUUCUACAACGGCAACAGCAAGAGAAAGAAGAGGAAGAUAACCACCUAGCAGUUAGUACUUGUUAUCUUGAGGAAAGCUGCUUAAGGAGGAAGCUGAGACUCUACAGGAAGCCUUUCAGGAGAAGGAAAUCAAUGAGAGUGAUGGACAGCUUUUCUCCAAUCUAUAUUUAGGGAAAGUGAAAAUGUACAGAUGAAUGUAGCAAAAAAAAAAAAAAAAAUUAGAAAAAAAAAAAAGACAAAAAACACUAGGAGUAAAUUUAGUGCUUCUAAUUAAAUUGAAUGAUCACUUCAUAGUCCUGAUUUUGCUCCCCUCUAUCUUGGGUCAGUAGUUCCUUAUUCUGAUCAUCCCAUGAGGUUCAGUAGGAAUUCUCUCAGUGUGACCGAAGGUCUUCUUUGCGAACCCAGGAAGUACAAGCAGCUUUAUCUAGAAGGUGGCAAGUGAAAAGACAUAUGACAUUUUGUAUUUUUGCAUGCAAAUAAUCAGAAUCAGUUUGCCAACCAGGAGACAGAUACUAACAGAAAUGUUUAGAUGUUAUGUAACAAAUUCAAAAACGGCACUAGCUUUUCUCUUUUUACAUCUGACAUAUACCUGUGCCCAUUAUUCAGAAGUUAUUUAAAUAACAUAAAAUCUCUGCACUCUUCUGGGGAAGCCUUUCCUACAGCUUUCAUUUUCUGCACCUAUUGUCUAAGUAGCUUCCUCCCACUGUUAUGUAUCUGAAAGUCUGUGCUUCUGCAAGCCAGGUAACUGCUUUGACAAAAAAGCAUAUUAGAUGCCUGCAGAUCCCACUAGAGCAGGCUCUGCACCUCCAACCAUACCACACUUAAAGGGGUAUGAAUUAUGUUUCUAAUAUUAUCACUUUCUUGACUUCCACUUGGGAACCAUCUGUCAGAGCAACACCACCCAAAUUACAGCAGGGUCUCCAUGAUGCUGGCUGGUCUGAGCACAUGUGUAAAGCUUCUGCCCAAAGAGAUGGGAAGAAGAAAUGGUUCAAGUUAAAUAAAUUUACUGCUGGUAUUCA